rnacentral:pre_miRNA from 1 species
GAAACACUCCUGUGGAGCAGGACUUGCUUCAGUGGGGCUUUGGUGCUCACUGAGUCUGCCUCUUGAGUAUGUUGCU